rnacentral:rRNA from 1 species
AACGAACGCUGGCGGCAGGCUUAACACAUGCAAGUCGAGCGCCCCGCAAGGGGAGCGGCAGACGGGUGAGUAACACGUGGGAACAUACCCUUUUCUACGGAAUAACGCAGGGAAACUUGUGCUAAUACCGUAUACGCCCUUCGGGGGAAAGAUUUAUCGGAGAAGGAUUGGCCCGCGUUGGAUUAGCUAGUUGGUGGGGUAAAGGCCUACCAAGGCGACGAUCCAUAGCUGGUCUGAGAGGAUGAUCAGCCACAUUGGGACUGAGACACGGCCCAAACUCCUACGGGAGGCAGCAGUGGGGAAUAUUGGACAAUGGGCGCAAGCCUGAUCCAGCCAUGCCGCGUGAGUGAUGAAGGCCUUAGGGUUGUAAAGCUCUUUCACCGAUGAAGAUAAUGACGGUAGUCGGAGAAGAAGCCCCGGCUAACUUCGUGCCAGCCGCCGCCGUAA